rnacentral:rRNA from 1 species
AGAAUAUUGCACAAUGGACGAAAGUCUGAUGCAGCGACACCGCGUGAGGGAUGAAGGUUUUAGGAUUGUAAACCUCUUUUAUUAGGGAAUAGCAAGGAAGGUACCUAAUGAAUAAGCUACGGCUAACUACGUGCCAGCAGCCGCGGUAAUACGUAGGUAGCGAACGUUGUCCGGAAUCACUGGGCGUAAAGGGUCCGUAGGCGGUUUGAUAAGUCUCAUAUGAAAACUUCAAGCUCAACUUGGAGAGGUUGUGAGAUACUGUCAAACUAGAGACUGUUAGAGGUAAGUGGAAUUCCAGGUGUAGUGGUGAAAUGCGUAGAUAUCUGGAGGAACACCAGUGGCGAAAGCGACUUACUGGGACAGUUCUGACGCUAAGGGACGAAAGCGUGGGGAGCGAACCGGAUUAGAUACCCGGGUAGUCCACGCCGUAAACGAUGAUUGCUAGGUUUUCGGGGCAUCGACCCCUCGUGAGCCGAAGUUAACGCGUUAAGCAAUCCGCCUGAGUAGUACGGCCGCAAGGCUAAAACUCAAAGAAAUUGACGGGGGACCGCACAAGCAGCGGAGCGUGUGGUUUAAUUCGAUGGUAAGCGAAGAACCUUACCAGGGUUUGACAUGUAAGUAGUACUGAACCGAAAGGGGAUGGACCCGCAAGGGAGCUUACACAGGUGUUGCAUGGUUGUCGUCAGCUCGUGCCGUGAGGUGUUGGGUUAAGUCCCGCAACGAGCGCAACCCUCUUUGUUAGUUGCACUCUCUAACGAUACUGCCCUUAAAAGGGAGGAAGGUGGGGAUGACGUCAAAUCAUCAUGGCUCUUACACCCUGGGCUACACACACGCUACAAUGGCAAGUACAGACGGUUGCCAACCCGCGAGGGGGAGCUAAUCCGAUAAAACUUGUCUCAGUUGGGAUUAUAGGCUGAAAUUCGCCUAUAUGAACGUGGAGUUGCUAGUAAACGCAGGUCAGCACACUGCGUUGAAUACGUUCC